AUACUCUGGUUUCUCUUCAUUACACGCAUAAAUCUUUCGCCUUUUACUAAAGAUUUCCGUGGAGAGGAGCAUUCAAUGAGUCUUCAACAAUUUUUCUUGCCCAGGAAAUCCUGGGU